rnacentral:lncRNA from 1 species
UUGCUUAUGAUGUCACUUACCGAGCGUACAAAAAGCCAGAUUUCGUUUCCACUUGCCAAAUAAUUUGUUUUCUUAAGUGAGCUGAAGCAGUGGAGGCUUUCCAAGCCCUGACUGGCUGUCCUCAGGAGGUGGUUAGCUCUGCUCCUCUGCCAGCCGGGGACUCGCCUGCGGAAGGUGCUGCAGAGAAAGCCCUGAGGAGCGGCUGGUGCUGAGCCCCGGUGGCACCGAAAAGGUGGCUGCUGGUCAGAGGAGAGCUAGCAGGUCCCUAGGAGGGAAUGGAGCAAUGCUGUAAGCACAGAUGUUGUGUCUGCUAAUCCCCAAUCACCCAAGAACUACUGGAUUUUCCUGUCUCUUAUGCAGGUAGACCACCUAAUCCCCUGGAGAUCCCAAUCAGCGUGGACAAAGAGUUGUAGGUACUACGAAAUACGCUUGGCACACGGGGGAUUUACUGCUGGGAGAUGAUUAACAUUCUUGAGCAGCACAAAAAGGACGUACACAACUGCCUUCUGACCACUUUCAGGGCUUAUGCCCUUCCUUCCCAAAUGAAGAUGCCACAUUAAUUACAACUGUGAUGGGACCAGAGCAGUGUUUUUGCAAGGGGCCAGAUGCCCUCGCCUUAAUGAUAUUUAAUAAAUAAAUAAAGACAAU